AGCAGAAAUAGGCAAAGACUUAUGUCUCUUGAAGACAUGUCAUUUUUUUAGAAUCGACCUAGGCAACUGUGUAUACAGAUGCUAGAGGUGAUUUU
rnacentral:sRNA from 1 species